rnacentral:rRNA from 3 species
AAAUUGAAGAGUUUGAUCAUGGCUCAGAUUGAACGCUGGCGGCAGGCCUAACACAUGCAAGUCGAACGGUAACAGGAAGCAGCUUGCUGCUUCGCUGACGAGUGGCGGACGGGUGAGUAAUGUCUGGGAAACUGCCUGAUGGAGGGGGAUAACUACUGGAAACGGUGGCUAAUACCGCAUAACGUCGCAAGACCAAAGAGGGGGACCUUCGGGCCUCUUGCCAUCAGAUGUGCCCAGAUGGGAUUAGCUGGUUGGUGAGGUAACGGCUCACCAAGGCGACGAUCCCUAGCUGGUCUGAGAGGAUGACCAGCCACACUGGAACUGAGACACGGUCCAGACUCCUACGGGAGGCAGCAGUGGGGAAUAUUGCACAAUGGGCGCAAGCCUGAUGCAGCCAUGCCGCGUGUAUGAAGAAGGCCUUCGGGUUGUAAAGUACUUUCAGCGGGGAGGAAGGUGUUGCGGUUAAUAACC